CGGAGUGUAGCUCAGCCUGGUAGAGCGUCAGUUUUGGGAACUGAAAGUCGUCGGUUCGAAUCCGGCUACUCCGA
rnacentral:tRNA from 1 species